GUCACAAAAAAUUGGCUAAUCCAGGGGCUAUGCAGUAUAAAAACUUCUCUGCUUGUGUGGCUGUGAAGGAAAAGGUGACUUUGAGGAUGAAUGAGUCGAGUUCCAUAGAGACGAAUUGUCUGGAGGGCAACAGGUUAACACACUCAAUCUGUGGUGAAGUGGAGCUUCCCUGGAGACAGUCCAAGAAGCAAGGACUCACAAAUAAGGAAGGCUUUAAUCUGUGUGUUCAAAUCCAGGAAAGAGCAGUGUAGGCUAAUACAGUGGACAUCCAAUUGCUGGGUUCUUCUAACUCAGAGGGCCCCAAAUUGCACCCUGACUGCUGAACUUCAGAUACACCGUGUGAUGAGCGGCUUCCUCUUCUUGGUAUCCUUUAGUUGUGUGGGUGUCUCCUGAGCUGCUUGUUUGCUGGUUCAGUGUCAACUGAAGGAAAAAUAAUUUGGAAAGUGUUCUCAGUCCAUAUGCUCUGUCUUUUCAAUCCUCGGACUGGGACCAAAUUAUGUUUCCUGCUAUAGCUCAUUUAGAAUAAGAUAGACCAGGCUUCUGGCAAGUAACCUAAUUUCAGUUUUCUCAUUUUUAAAGUGAAGAUAAUAAAGUUUACUUUUCAGAGCA
rnacentral:lncRNA from 1 species